rnacentral:rRNA from 1 species
CCUACGUGAGGCAGCAGUGAGGAAUAUUGGUCAAUGGGCUUACGCCUGAACCAGCCAAGUCGCGUGAGGGAAGACUGCCCUAUGGGUUGUAAACCUCUUUUGUCAGGGAGCAAUUGGCGCUACGUGUAGCGUUAUCGAGAGUACCUGAAGAAAAAGCAUCGGCUAACUCCGUGCCAGCAGCCGCGGUAAUACGGAGGAUGCGAGCGUUAUCCGGAUUUAUUGGGUUUAAAGGGUGCGUAGGCGGAAUGCCAAGUCAGCGGUAAAAUCGCGGGGCUCAACCUCGCUCCGCCGUUGAAACUGGCGUUCUUGAGUGGGCGAGAAGUAUGCGGAAUGCGUGGUGUAGCGGUGAAAUGCUUAGAUAUCAUGAAGAACUCCGAUCGCGAAGGCAAGUGUCCGGGGUGCAACUGACGCUGAGGCUCGAAAGUGCGGGUAUCAAACAGGAUUAGAUACCCGGGUAGUC